rnacentral:rRNA from 1 species
GAUCCUGGCUCAGAACGAACGCUGGCGGCAGGCUUAACACAUGCAAGUUGAACGGGAUUUGUAUGGUGCUUGCACCACGUAAUGGGAGUAGCGCACUGGUGAGUAACACGUGGGAACAUACCUUGAAGUGGGGGACAACAGUUGGAAACGACUGCUAAUACCGCAUAAUCCCUGAGGGGGAAAGAUUUAUCGCUUUAAGAUUGGCCCGCGGAAGAUUAGGUAGUUGGUGGGGUAAAGGCCUACCAAGCCGACGAUCUA